rnacentral:snRNA from 1 species
AAGCUUGAUUAGUAUUGAGUAGCCUUGCAUGAUCACAAAGGUGGUUUUCCCAGGGUGAGGCUCAUCCGUUGCACUCGGGGUGUGCUCACCCCCAAAUGCGGGAAACUCGGCUGCAUAAUUUGUGGUAGUGGGGGACUGCAAUUUUUUA